CGCCUCUUGAAACUAAAAAUAUAAGAGGUCCCGCCUGCCCUGUGAUAAUAAUUUAACGGCCGCGGUAUUCUGACCGUGCGAAGGUAGCGAAAUCACUUGUCUUUUAAAUGAAGACCUGUAUGAAUGGCACGACGAGGGCUUGACUGUCUCCUUUUUCAAGUCAAUGAAAUUGAUCUCCCCGUGCAGAAGCGGGGAUAAGAACAUAAGACGAGAAGACCCUAUGGAGCUUCAGACACCAAGAUAGACCAUGUUAAGUACCCCUAAUAUAAAGGACUAAACAAAAUGAGACCUAUCGUAAUGUCUUUGGUUGGGGCGACCACGGGGAAAUAAAAAACCCCCACGUGGAAUGGGAGUACCCCUCCUAAAACCAAGAGCCACAGCUCUAAUUAACAGAACUUCUGACCAGUCAGAUCCGGCAAUCCCGAUCAACGGACCGAGUUACCCUAGGGAUAACAGCGCAAUCCCCUUUCAGAGCCCAUAUCGACAAGGGGGUUUACGACCUCGAUGUUGGAUCAGGACAUCCUAAUGGUGCAGCCGCUAUUAAGGGUUCGUUUGUUCAACGAUUAAAGUCCU
rnacentral:rRNA from 1 species